AGACCGUGGUGUGGACAACAUCUUAACAAGUCCUUGUACCUCUCCCAGGCAUUGUACAUGCUCUCGUCGUCCAUCUGCACAAAAGAAGAAAUGUAAUUUCUCAAUUU
rfam:Ricinus communis cultivar Hale ctg_1100012357852, whole genome shotgun sequence.